AUUGAACGCUGGCGGCAUGCUUUACACAUGCAAGUCGAACGGUAACAGGGAGCUUGCUCCGCUGACGAGUGGCGAACGGGUGAGUAAUGCGUCGGAACGUGCCGAGUAGUGGGGGAUAACGCAGCGAAAGUUGUGCUAAUACCGCAUACGUACUGAGGUAGAAAGUGGGGGACCUUCGGGCCUCACGCUAUUCGAGCGGCCGACGUCUGAUUAGCUAGUAGGUGGGGUAAAGGCUCACCUAGGCGACGAUCAGUAGCGGGUCUGAGAGGAUGAUCCGCCACCCUGGGACUGAGACACGGCCCAGACUCCUACGGGAGGCAGCAGUGGGGAAUUUUGGACAAUGGGCGAAAGCCUGAUCCAGCCAUGCCGCGUGUCUGAAGAAGGCCUUCGGGUUGUAAAGGACUUUUGUCGGGGAGGAAAUCCCCAGCGCUAAUACCGCUGGGGGAUGACAGUACCUGAAGAAUAAGCACCGGCUAACUACGUGCCAGCAGCCGCGGUAACAC
rnacentral:rRNA from 1 species